GACGUAGGGCGCGAGCGUUGUCCGGAUUUAUUGGGCGUAAAGAGCUCGUAGGCGGCUUGUCGCGUCGAAUGUGAAAACUCGGGGCUCAACUCCGAGCUUGCAUUCGAUACGGGCAGGCUAGAGUUCGGGUAGGGGAGACUGGAAUUCCUGGUGUAGCGGUGAAAUGCGCAGAUAUCAGGAGGAACACCGGUGGCGAAGGCGGGUCUCUGGGCCGAUACUGACGCUGAGGAGCGAAAGCGUGGGGAGCGAACAGG
rnacentral:rRNA from 1 species